rnacentral:rRNA from 1 species
AGAGACAGCAGUAGCCGCGGUAAUACAGAGGGUGCGAGCGUUAAUCGGAUUUACUGGGCGUAAAGCGUGCGUAGGCGGCUUCUUAAGUCGGAUGUGAAAUCCCUGAGCUUAACUUAGGAAUUGCAUUCGAUACUGGGAAGCUAGAGUAUGGGAGAGGAUGGUAGAAUUCCAGGUGUAGCGGUGAAAUGCGUAGAGAUCUGGAGGAAUACCGAUGGCGAAGGCAGCCAUCUGGCCUAAUACUGACGCUGAGGUACGAAAGCAUGGGGAGCAAACAGGAUUAGAGACCCCGGUAGUCCCUGUCUCUUAUAA